rnacentral:rRNA from 1 species
AGAGUUUGAUUAUGGCUCAGGAUGAACGCUAGCGAUAGGCCUAACACAUGCAAGUCGAGGGGCAGCACAUGAAGUAGCAAUACGGAUGGUGGCGACCGGCGCACGGGUGAGUAACGCGUAUGCAACCUGCCUACAACAGGGGAAUAACCCGUUGAAAGACGGACUAAUACCCCAUAACACAGGGAUCCCGCAUGGGAAUAUUUGUUAAAGAUUUAUCGGUUGUAGAUGGGCAUGCGUUCCAUUAGCUGGUUGGUGAGGUAACGGCUCACCAAGGCAACGAUGGAUAGGGGAACUGAGAGGUUUAUCCCCCACACUGGUACUGAGACACGGACCAGACUCCUACGGGAGGCAGCAGUGAGGAAUAUUGGUCAAUGGACGCAAGUCUGAACCAGCCACGUCGCGUGAAGGAAGACGGCCCUACGGGUUGUAAACUUCUUUUGUAAGGGAAUAAAGUGCAGUACGUGUACUGUUUUGCAUGUACCUUACGAAUAAGGAUCGGCUAACUCCGUGCCAGCAGCCGCGGUAAUACGGAGGAUCCGAGCGUUAUCCGGAUUUAUUGGGUUUAAAGGGUGCGCAGGCGGGAGAUUAAGUCGGCGGUGAAAUUUUGCAGCUCAACUGUAAAAGUGCCUUCGAAACUGGUUUCCUUGAGUGUGGAUGAAGUAGGCGGAAUUUGUGGUGUAGCGGUGAAAUGCAUAGAUAUCACGAGGAACUCCGAUUGCGCAGGCAGCUUACUAAACCAUAACUGACGCUCAGCACGAAGGCGUGGGGAUCAAACAGGAUUAGAUACCCUGGUAGUC